GCGCCAGUGGUCUAAUGGUAGGACAAGGGCCUUCCAAGCCCUCGGUCGGGGUUCGAUUCCCCGCUGGCGCA
rnacentral:tRNA from 2 species